rnacentral:rRNA from 1 species
AGGACGAACGCUGGCGGCGUGCUUAACACAUGCAAGUCGAACGAGGCCCUACCUUCGGGUAGGUGACCUAGUGGCGAACGGGUGAGUAACACGUGGGCAACCUACCCUCAGCUCUGGGAUAACCCCGGGAAACCGGAGCUAAUACCGGAUAUGACCUGGAACGACAUCGUUCUUGGUGGAAAGUUUUUCGGCUGAGGAUGGGCCCGCGGCCUAUCAGCUUGUUGGUGGGGUAAUGGCCCACCAAGGCGACGACGGGUA